AUGUGUCUGGAUUUUUUUCUUAAUUUGGGAUUUACUGACAGUGAAACAGAAUUGUCCCUUAGGCGAUCAUCGCUGGCGACAUUUUAAUGAGUUCUGACAGCAGAUUUUGCCCUUGUAUGUGGCACACAGGUCCCAUGCCUGGGAAGGCUCACUGAGCUUGCACAGUAACCGGAGAGCAUUUAUGAAGGUAAACACAUAAAACGCGACAGUGACAAGUUGUGCUCCUCGGGUGACGAGCUCUCAGUCUCCUCAUCUGUAAAAUAAGAUGUGUGUUGGGCCAAGUCAUGGAAAAGGCAUGACGGUUGGUUGACCCAUGAGCUGGACCCCGGCAAGUGGAGGGUCGCACUCCCUCCCCUGUCAUUGGAAUGUGUAUUCCGCCUGCCUUCCUCAUUCCCAGAAGCUUCCCAAGCCUUGAGAUGGUGAUGUAGUGUUGAGACCAGCUGGACAAUAUGUGGUCCGAACCCAGUGAAGACCUCUAUUUAAACUUUUAAGAUCUGGCAGGCUGGUUGUGGAGGUACAGUCACCUUUUAGCUCCGCAAGCCAUGAAGUCCUGCCAUACAGGUUUAACUGAAGUGUCCUGUGAAGACCAGGUAAGCCAUGGAAGAAGCAAAUAUUUCCAAUUGUACCCACUUAUCCAUGUGAUUCAAGACACUCUUAAAUCCACAUGAACACAAAUUAGGUUUGUCUUCAACUCUCCCCCAUAUGUCUUCAACUCUCCCCCAGAACUACUAAUUUUAGUUUUGGAUUCAUGAAAACAACCUCACUGACUGGGAAGAUAAGAUGACCAACUGCAAUGUGGUCCUCUGGAUCCUGGAGCAGAAAAAGGACAUUAGUGGAAAACCUGGAGACAUCUAAAUCAAGUCUACAGUUCAACUA